GAUGAACGCUGGCGGCGUGCCUAAUACAUGCAAGUCGAGCGAACAGAUGAGGAGCUUGCUCCUCUGACGUUAGCGGCGGACGGGUGAGUAACACGUGGAUAACCUACCUAUAAGACUGGGAUAACUUCGGGAAACCGGAGCUAAUACCGGAUAAUAUAUUGAACCGCAUGGUUCAAUAGUGAAAGACGGUUUUGCUGUCACUUAUAGAUGGAUCCGCGCCGCAUUAGCUAGUUGGUAAGGUAACGGCUUACCAAGGCAACGAUGCGUAGCCGACCUGAGAGGGUGAUCGGCCACACUGGAACUGAGACACGGUCCAGACUCCUACGGGAGGCCGCAGUAGGGAAUCUUCCGCAAUGGGCGAAAGCCUGACGGAGCAACGCCGCGUGAGUGAUGAAGGUCUUCGGAUCGUAAAACUCUGUUAUUAGGGAAGAACAAAUGUGUAAGUAACUAUACACGUCUUGACGGUACCUAAUCAGAAAGCCACGGCUAACUACGUG
rnacentral:rRNA from 1 species